UACGUAGGGGGCAAGCGUUGUCCGGAUUUAUUGGGCGUAAAGAGCUCGUAGGCGGUUCGUCGCGUCGGCUGUGAAAUCCCGAGGCUCAACCUCGGGUCUGCAGUCGAUACGGGCGGACUGGAGUUCGGCAGGGGAGACUGGAAUUCCUGGUGUAGCGGUGAAAUGCGCAGAUAUCAGGAGGAACACCGGUGGCGAAGGCGGGUCUCUGGGCCGAUGACUGACGUGAGGAGCGAAAGCGUGGGGAGCGAACAGG
rnacentral:rRNA from 1 species